UUACCCGAUCGGGUAAAACGCGGAUAUGGUGUAAAAUAUACUUUUCGGCUCUUUCAAAGGCAUAUCCGCGUUUUACCCGAUCGGGUAA
rnacentral:miRNA from 1 species